AAAAAAAUUCCCCAAACAUAUCAAUUUUUCGCCGCUAUGGAGAAAGUAACUUGGAAUGUUAACGAAAUUGACGCACUUGAUAAGGACUAAAAUCGCAGUCGAAACGUAGUGCCGUUUGUAUAAUUUUUUGCCAGUCAUGGUCAAGGAAUAAAUAGAGUUAAGGUUAUAUAUAUUUAUAUUAAAAAUCAAAUGCAUUUAUUUGUAAAAUAUAAAUUGCUUAUAUAUUAAUUUGUUUCAAUAUAUUAAUAAUAUGCGUACAUACUCUUAUAUUUGUUUGUCUUUUAAUAUUGGUGCAAUAACAGUUUAGAAUAAUAGAAUAUUAUAUAUAGAAAUAAUAGAAAUUGCAAUGAAAAAUAUAAAACG